rnacentral:lncRNA from 1 species
CGAGGUUAAAUAAUCACAUAAUAAAUCCAACAAACAUUAUUUUAAUAGAUUCUACAUGGUUCUGAAACUAUAUCAGAAAGUAAAUAUUAAACUUAUCCUCAAUUUGGGAGAUCUCCAACAACUUUAUUUAUAAUUUAUUAAGAAAAUAUUUGUAUACAACACAUUCGGACCAAAUGCACCAGUCUUAAGACGCUAGACAAUGCUUAAGAAUUUAUGAUCAAUGGAAAAGAUUGCCUACCAAUGAUAGUAAGCAAGACUCAGAGGAUAUAUAUGAAAGAUGGAGAAUAAAAAUUGAACACUAGAGUUCAUUCAGGGAAGUGACUCUUAUUUAAUUAUGAAGUCACUAAUUGAAAUUUAAGAUGUGAAACCACCAUCAGCAUAGAAAGUCUGCCCAGUGAUAUAUGAUGCAGCUGGAAGACAAAGAAAAGCAACCAGUGGUGAUAUUUCGUUGGUUUCUCCUACUCGACCAAAAGGUAUUGUAGAUGUAACAAUAGCAUCCCACACUUUCGUUCCAGUUUUCUCCUGUAAGAAUUAUCAACAUAUGACCAAACAAAAACAUAAUGUUAACAUAUGCGUCAAAUUAGAAAUUACACACUUAAUACCAUUUUUACAUGAAACACAAAAUUAUUAUUUUUUUUGGGUGAAAGCAUUUAAUAGCAUUGUAUCAAACAAUUAGUGUUUGGUUUUUCUGUUUGGUGUUUUUCUUCUGCGACUUUCUUUUCCUUGUUUUACAGUUUUUAUAUAAUAAACUUUGUUCUGUUUUCUCUACUUUCCUAGUGCUAUGUUUGUCUUGGCUCUAGCUUGUUUGGGUGUGUUUGCAUACAUAUACCAGUAUUUCGUCUUACAUUAAAUAAGAAGAUAAAUAUAAAGAAGAAAAUUUAUAAAUACGUUAUUUUAAAUAUUUUAAAAUUUUAUAUAAUUUUGUUAGUAUUUAAAGGUUGUGAAAGGAGUAGUUGAUGAGGCAGAGAAAAUAUGGAGAUAGUAGAAUGUAGAAGUGGUAGUUGGAAGAAGUGUUGUAGUUGUCUUAGUUUUUGUAGAUGUUGGCUUCUUAUUUGGCUUGCAUACAAAUGAUCCAAUCACCCCUAUUUAUACUAGUGGCACCUCCUUAACCAAUGGUUAGGAUCUUGCCACCACAACAUUAAUCUAAGGGUCAUUAUUCAUCUUCUAGAGAUUUCUAAAACAUUCUUAUAAUUCUAAACUUAUCUAGAUAAAUCUAAUGGAUAAGCAUCCCUAGAUAUUUUUAUACAUCAUUCUAGAAUCUUUCUAGAUAGGAUAUUUCUAGAAUUCUAUUUUUGACCUUCUUUAGUUUUGGGCCUUCUCUAGUCUUGGGAUUUUAUCUGUUAGGCCCAAUUUACAUUCUAACUCUUUUUUCCUAGGAGNUUCUCCAUUCUUCUAGAAUUUGCAUUACACUUUAACAAAUUUCACUCGUUAUGAUAAGCAUGGAAUCCAACGUGAAUACAUCUGGAUUUAAUUUUAAUUGGGGAAGAAUAUAUUAUAUUCAUAUCUCAAACAUACCCUGACAGAUUCAAAGAGUGGAGUCCAAAUUGGUCCAGGUGCUACAGCAUUUGCACGAAUGUUAUCUUUUGCCCACUCCGAUGCUACGCUCCUGGUGAAUUGAUUCAUGGCUCCUGAAUUAAAUUAUAUAUUUCGUUCAGAUAAACAAGUUAGAUUCGCAAUAAUAUUAAUAUAUGAGGAAAAUUAGAAAAGAAAUUAGUAUGUAUACCUUUAGCGGCUGCAUAAGCAGAUAAACCUGGAAUAGCUUUUGCACCAGCAAUGGAUGAAAUGAAUACUAUGCUCCCACAUCCAGAUUGUUUAAGAAGUGGAUGUGCAAGUUGAGUCAAAUGAAAAACAGACUCAAAAUUGGUAGCCAUUAUAGUCGAUACAUCUUCAACAGUGUAAUCUACUAUGUUCUUUGUUAUUUCUAUCGCUGCAUUAUUCACCUAAGAGACAACCACAUACCAAAUCAC